ACUGAAAGUACUUGCACCAACGUUUGGCAUAAAUAAUUAAAAUGUAACUAUGGCAUUCAAUUUGCCUUUAGUUUUCUUUCUUUUUGGCUGGACUUGGAAAAGUCUCAUGAGCAAAAGACAAUGGUUGAGUUCUUCAGUUCUCCAACAAGUAAUUUUGUAAACCAUCUUCACUUGCCACCAAUAAGAGCAUGUCCGGUGCGUACUUGCAAAAGACGCUCCGACACUUAGGUACUGUUUGGUACGCGGACGGGACGGGACAGAAUGGAAUGGUGGUUCCAUGUUAUGUUUGGUAUGCGCAGGAUAGAACAGGAAAGUUGUUCCGUUCUGCGUUUGGUAAGCGCAGGAGGGAACGAAAUCAAAAUAUUAAAAUGACUAACUUACCCUAGUCCAUACAUCUCUCUCCUCAAUCACCUCCACCCUCCGAACCAAUCAACCCACCGUCUCUCUCCUCCACUGCCCCUCCCUCAUCUUCUCUCCGCUUCCUUCCAACCAAGCCCUCAGGCUUGCUCCGUACAAUGUUCCUUCGCGGCCGUACGCUUCAAUUUCAUCUGAAGCAGCUGCCGCAGAUUUCACAGACGAAGCUCACUCCGCGGACUCAACCCUAGAACCGCCGGAGAACCCGACUCGGGAAACCGUGGAGGAGCUUCUGAGGAAGAAAAACGAGGUCGCGAAGGGAGAUUUACAAGCAACAACAAACACCAAACCCGUUCUAGGGAUUGGAGGAUUUACAAGCAGCAUCAAAAUUAAUUAAAGAUAAAGAUUGGAGGAUUUACAAGCAGCAGGGGAGAUGGGCAGGGAUGAAGAGCUGAAAGUUCGCGAAGGGGAGAUGCGCAAGGAUGAACGUUCACAGCGGCAGAGAGAAGAGAAAUGAUAGUUGUAGGGUUUGUUGGAUGAUAUAGAUGGUGUAAAUAUUGAAAAAGUUAAGGGGUAUUUUUGUCUUAAAUUUUAUGAUUUUUGUGUUC